rnacentral:rRNA from 1 species
CCCUGAAAAUGGCGGCGAGAAUACACUGCAGUCGAGCGGACAGAUGGGAGCUUGCUCCCUGAUGUUAGCGGCGGACGGGUGAGUAACACGUGGGUAACCUGCCUGUAAGACUGGGAUAACUCCGGAAAACCGGGGCUAAUACCGGAUGGUUGUUUGAACGCAUGGGUCAAAAAUA